GCGGUGAUAGCUCAGUUGGUGGAGCAAUAGAUUUUUAAUCUAAUGGUCGCGUGUUCGAUCCACGCUCAUCGCA